AUUACAUUAUUCGAAUAUUGUAACAUCCAAUGACGUAUCUACUUUUAUGUUAACUGCAUUGUGUUUUGUGGUAUGGUUUUUGUUGUUGUUUCUCUCUGUGUCUCCUGCUCCUCUGGCUCCUCCCACUCUUUCCACUCUGGCAGGUAGCUGACUGCCCUUUCCAGCUGCACCUGCUUACCAGCUGAGAGAGUAGCAGUUUAGAAGAGAAUUUCACUCCAGAGCAUGUCCUGUGUCUAGCCCUGCCCAGCUCAGUUUGUUGAAGCCUUUUAGACUUUGUGCACUGUGUUUACUGCAGGAUACUCAGCCUACAGCUAGUUUGUCUUUUCCUGUGUUACCAAACUGCUUAAGCAGUUACUCUCCCGAUUGAUUGUUUGUUACCCUGUAGAGAGGAUGUAGCAGAGGUUCACAGUUUUGAGGAUGUUUUCCAGCUGCUGGUCAGUGAUGCCUUUCUCCUGCAUCUCCUGAACAGAGUGAGGAUAGAUGACCUGAUCUCUCAGCGUUCCCACCGACAUAUAAGUGCUGAUAUACAGAGACAUCCAGUGAACUGCAAGUGGGCCAAAUGACAAGCAGCUGCUGGUCUGAAAUGAUGUUGGACACAUCCCGUUGUGUGAUCAUGAGCACGAAGCGAUGCUGUACUCCUGUUGGGUUUGUAAUGAAGCUGCCAUGUAACGCAGUCACAGGAGCACCAUAUGUGCUGACUGCUUUUUGAUUGUGCUCCUCUUUUUAAUCAGCACACUCAUCAGCGCUAAUUAACCUGGCACGGAGGGGAAAUGGAAAUAAACACAUGCACGCAAACCCACUUCUCUGCCUUCUAAUUGAUCUUAAUUCUCAAACAAAAUACAGCAGACCACAUCUCAGUACUGGGUCCUGAACCUGCACUAAGAGAAAUCAACAGCCUUCUACAAUCAUAGUAGUCCUAUUUGUACACUACUGGCAUGCACAUAAUAUUCUGUAUGCAAAAUUAAUAUUAGCUCAUCUCAAAUCAUAGUACAAUGACAAAAACUCAUCAAAGUUGCCUGGAUGACAUAUUGGUUUUCAAAUUGUGUGGUCAUGCAAUUUUGUUUUUUACUUUUUGUUUGUUUGUUUGGUUUAGUU